UGGGGAAUUUUGCACAAUGGGGGAAACCCUGAUGCAGCGACGCCGCGUGAUUUAGAAGGCCUUCGGGUUGUAAAAAUCUUUUCUAUGGGAAGAAAAUGACAGUACCAUAGGAAUAAGGACCGGCUAAUUACGUGCCAGCAGCCGCGGUAAUACGUAAGGUCCGAGCGUUGUCCGGAAUCAUUGGGCGUAAAGGGUACGUAGGCGGGUAAGCAAGUUAGAAGUGAAAGCCUAUAGCUCAACUAUAGUAAGCUUUUAAAACUGCUCAUCUUGAGGUAUGGAAGGGAAAGUGGAAUUCCUAGUGUAGCGGUGAAAUGCGCAGAUAUUAGGAGGAAUACCGGUGGCGAAGGCGACUUUCUGGCCAUAACCUGACGCUGAGGUACGAAAGCGUGGGUAGCAAACAGG
rnacentral:rRNA from 1 species